UACGGAGGGGGCUAGCGUUGUUCGGAAUUACUGGGCGUAAAGCGCGCGUAGGCGGCUUUGUAAGUCAGAGGUGAAAGCCCGGAGCUCAACUUCGGAAUAGCCUUUGAGACUGCAUCGCUUGAAUCCGGGAGAGGUGAGUGGAAUUCCGAGUGUAGAGGUGAAAUUCGUAGAUAUUCGGAAGAACACCAGUGGCGAAGGCGGCUCACUGGACCGGUAUUGACGCUGAGGCACGAAAGCGUGGGGAGCAAACAGG
rnacentral:rRNA from 1 species